rnacentral:piRNA from 1 species
UGAUUAAGGAAGUUAUGGUACAUCUGA